rnacentral:rRNA from 1 species
UACGUAGGCGGCAAGCGUUGUCCGGAUUUACUGGGCGUAAAGAGCGCGCAGGCGGUCGGAUAAGUCGAAUGUGAAAGCCCCCGGCUCAACUGGGGAGGGUCAUUCGAUACUGUUCGACUCGAAGGCAGGAGAGGGAAGUGGAAUUCCCGGUGUAGUGGUGAAAUGCGUAGAUAUCGGGAGGAACACCAGUGGCGAAGGCGACUACCUGGCCUGUUCUUGACGCUGAGGCGCGAAAGCUAGGGGAGCAAACGGG